UAAAGAGUUCCUUUUCUCUUCUUGAAUAUAAGCCAUUUAACAAUGUGAGACAUGUCUUUUGUGGUUAUUUGUAAUAUCCUGUAUGUGUCUGGAGUACUUUGAUGCCUUGGAUUGGAAGCUAACUUAAAAGAUGAACUUUUGAGGGUGUGUUUUCUAUUGUGUGGGGCUUUUGUCGAAAUUAGGAUUCCGAAACGCGUUUUUCUACGGUGGGUUCAUUCGACAGCGAUUUACUUUCUUAGAAGUUGCGAGACGGUAUGUUUUUGAUUGCAAUUAUUGGAAGAUGACAGAUCCAUCUUUAAAAUGAUACCAGGUUCGGAAAAAUUGAUACGUCGGAAAGGCAAGAAAAAUGCUGUGAAAGUUGUCAGUUUUAUAAUGGGACCCUAUGGGAAUCGGAAUUAAUGUAAUAUAACCUUUAAAAAGCGCAUUUACUGCAAUGUCAAGGUCACAUGGAUUCGUCUGCAAGCGAGACAAGUAGAAAAUAAAUUUUAAUGAAUGUUUUGAUGAUUUGGGUGCUAAAAUAGAUGAGAGAUGUCAAUAUUUUGGUCCAAAUGGAUGUUUUAGGUGGUUUUGGACUGUUCCGGAUGGGUGGGGGACCUGGUAUGGACAAGUAAGGGUAAAAUUUCCAACAAAUCUUAAAUGUAAAUAUUAUUAUGUCCCUAGAUUGAAGUUUCAGGUGGAGAGCAAGAUGAAAAAUAUGCCAAAUUACAUGCAUGCAGCCCAUUUAUGCCAUUUUUCUCUUUGUUUGUAGGCCUGACCGUUUGUCCUUGAGCCGUCGAUGGUCAACAAUCCGCUAGCUGUCUUGCUCUGACUGGUGCACUGGACAUGAUUUCAAUAGUUAGCCAGACCAUGAUUGAACUUAAGGAUUGUGCUGCGGAUGCAGCCUGUGCAGUUCCGGGAGAAAGUCACUGUCUUGGGCAAUGCGGUCUGGUAUCAGGUCUGGAUGAUCCUUGCCUGACUGCGGGUUUGUGUACACCUCAAUCCGACUCUGUGUCCUGAACAGAGGCCGCAGUGGUGCAGCGCUUGUGGACGUUCCAUCAACAUCCUGAAAGGUCAACACUACACCCAGCUGGGAAAAUUGAUCCUGAUAGUCAUCCCCAGGUAGUGGAAUGAAUGUACACUGAACUACAGAGGAAUCACACCCAAAUGACUUUCCUGCCACGACAUUAGUGUGGCCACUAGCGUAGGAAUUCCUUAGCAAACGUGCUCUCUUGCAUGGUGACUGUGGGCAUUUUUGCCAAACUUACGCUUUCAACACUGGAUUUUAAAGAGAAUACUUAAUAAAAUGUCGCUAACAGGACUUAUUUAUAUGAGAGAGACUAUCUGGAUGCGCAUUAAGUGUCACUUUGUGUCGUAAGCUGUUGAAGGAGCGCUUUGCGCCUUUUUAAGUGUUAAUUUUGGGUAGCCGGCUUGUAUCGGCUUGAAAGCUGCAAAUUAUGCCUCUCAUCAUAAUAGCAUUAAUUUUUGUAAUUGCAAUGUGUAUGUUUAGAUUGUAAGUGAAGCUUUUAAUAAUAAUUUUCUUAAAAAACAUGAUUUUAUAUGCUGUCA